GGAGAAGUGACUUCGAAGUCAAGAUGGCAGCCCCUUUAUUGCGCCCCAGACUGUUGCAUGCAAGCUACCGCAACAAAACGCUUCUGCACAAAUCUCUCUGGCCCGCAAUAUGGACACCGAGCACCUUCCUCUCUUUUCCCGGGAUUCUGUUGGCUGCGAGUGCGUCCAAUUACAGCUGACACGGAUGUGGCGAACCUGGGAAGAUCUAAUUUCGUGGCUGGAAUGAAAUAAGGUCUUUCAAGUUCGUGGUUCUGCCGGACGGCGUGUAGAGCCUCGUCAACCCGGUCCAGAGCAGAGCGUCAGCAUCCUGUUUUUGGGUUGCUCGAGAUCGAACGAAACUCCAGUCGAGUACACAGAGACCCUAAAAAACAGAGGACAAUGAACGCGACUCCAAUGAUGAACUUCAAAUCACCCAGUUCUUUUUUUCGACUCAUGGCGUGCACAUUUACUACCAGAGAAGGGGUGUUCCCGCCACAGGUUCGAAGGCAUCCGCAAAGACUGGUUGUAAGAAAACGGUUUAGUUUAGACCUUGAGACAUGAAAGUUUCAGUACUGACAGCUUUUGACGGACGAAUUGAAAGCGCAUUGCCGCAAGAUAUAACACCGCUCGUUCGAAGAUCCGCCUAUAGCUCCACAGAGCCUUGUGAAUCUCCGGACUCUUGUGCGUUUGACUGGUAUUUGUUUGAAGAGAUACAGAACCGGUGUCUACGCUGGCCUUGAGACAACUUGUGCAUGCCUACGUGAACGUUUUUGACACGUAUUUCGCG
rnacentral:lncRNA from 1 species